AGUGAACGCUGGCGGUAGGCCUAACACAUGCAAGUCGAACGGCAGCACAGAGGAGCUUGCUCCUUGGGUGGCGAGUGGCGGACGGGUGAGGAAUACAUCGGAAUCUACUCUGUCGUGGGGGAUAACGUAGGGAAACUUACGCUAAUACCGCAUACGACCUACGGGUGAAAGCAGGGGAUCUUCGGACCUUGCGCGAUUGAAUGAGCCGAUGUCGGAUUAGCUAGUUGGCGGGGUAAAGGCGCACCAAGGCGACGAUCCGUAGCUGGUCUGAGAGGAUGAUCAGACACAUUGUAGCUGAGAUACGGUCCAGACUCAUACUGGAUGCAGCAGUGGGGAAUAUUGGACAAUGGGCGCAAGCCUGAUUCAGCCAUACCGCGUGGGUGAAGAAGGCCUUCGGGUUGUAAAGUCCUUUUGUUGGGAAAGAAAUCCAGCUGGCUAAUACCCGGUUGGGAUGACGGUACCCAAAGAAUAAGCACCGGCUAACUUCGUGCCAGCCGCCGCCGUAA
rnacentral:rRNA from 1 species